AUCCAGCUGAUGAGUCCCAAAUAGGAUGAAACGCACGUCCUGCAU
rnacentral:hammerhead_ribozyme from 1 species